UAAUGGUUAAGAGGGACAAACCGGGGGCAUUCGUAUCAUUACGCGAGAGGUGAAAUUCGUGGACCGUAGUGAGACGCCCAAUAGCGAAAGCAUUUGCCAAGAAUGUCUUCAUUAAUCAAGAACGAAAGUCAGAGGUUCGAAGGCGAUUAGAUACCGCCCUAGUUCUGACCGUAAACGAUGCCAUCUCGCGAUUCGGAGGGUUCAUGCCCUACCGAGGAGCUACCCGGAAACGAAAGUCUUUCGGUUCCGGGGGUAGUAUGGUUGCAAAGCUGAAACUUAAAGAAAUUGACGGAAGGGCACCACAAGGCGUGGAGCUUGCGGCUUAAUUUGACUCAACACGGGAAAACUCACCCGGUCCGGACACUAUUAGGACUGACAGAUUGAAAGCUCUUUCUCGAUUUGGUGGUUGGUGGUGCAUGGCCGUUCUUAGUUGGUGGAGUGAUUUGUCUGGUUUAUUCCGAUAACGAGCGAGACUCUAGCCUGCUAAAUAGUCGACGAAUCUUCGGGUUCGUAUAACUUCUUAGAGGGAUAAGCGGUGUUUAGCCGCACGAGAUUGAGCGAUAACAGGUCUGUGAUGCCCUUAGAUGUCCGGGGCUGCACGCGUGCUACACUGGUGGAGUCAGCGGGUUUUUCCUAUGCCGAAAGGUAUCGGUAAACCGUUGAACUUCUUCCAUGUCCGGGAUAGGGUAUUGUAAUUAUUACCCUUAAACGAGGAAUGCCUAGUAAGUGUGAGUCAUCAGCUCACGUUGAUUACGUCCCUGCCCUUUGUACACACCGCCCGUCGCUAUCCGGGACUGAACUGAUUCGAGAAGAGUGGGGACUGUGGCUGCGAGGUUUUACCACUUCGCAGUUGCGGAAACCAUUUUUAUCGCAUUGGUUUGAACCGGGUAAAAGUCGUAACAAGGUAGCUGUAGGUGAACCUGCAGCUGGAUCAUCG
rnacentral:ncRNA from 1 species